rnacentral:lncRNA from 7 species
AAAAGGAUUAAACUCACAUCUAAAGAAGUCAAUCACCAGGAUACCUAAGGGUAUCCUCCCAAGAUCACCUGUCUGUGAGUUUCUGAAGACUUACUGGGGCCUUCUUCAUCUUCAGUGUUCCCACCUCAUCUCUGAGAUGGUUACUUCAAUGGUUGCAAUUUCAAAUCUUUCCAGGGAAAAAGCUAUUAAGGCAAUCCGUCUGGUGAACAAGCUGCUUGAUUUCUGGCAUUGUCCCAGACAGUCAUUAGGAGGACAGACCAAACAGGAAUGACAUGGCAUCGGAUGCAAUCCAGUGAUGGAGGUUAACAGGAGACCCGCUGCUGGUGGCACUCCAAUGGGUGCUCUGAGCUGUUUCCCGUGAAGCAAAGCAGGCUUGUUUGCACUGGAGGUUCAUACACUGCUCAGAGAUCCUGAUCCUGAGUGCAAUUAUAUCCAACUAAUUUUCUAACUGAAGGCAAACUUCAAAGAAAUUUGAGCUCAAGAAUGGAACAUCCUAGAAGAUAUUUUAGCUUACUUCAGUUGACUCAGAUUCACCCUACCAGAUACUCCCUAUUGAACUGCACGCUGCUCAGUCACACAGAAUGGGCUGUUUUUGAUGGUAAAAUGAGCAGGAGAAAGGAACAAAAAAUGUAACCCCCUGGAUUACACAUCAGAGAUCACCUCCUGAGACUGUCUGAUCAAUGGCAAAGAUGAAUGGCAUUCUGCAUUGGAGGAAGUUUUUGUCCAUCGUUAAGCACUGAAUGAUGCAGCACCUCUUUUCAAUGUGAAAAUUCUGAAAAUAAUUUGCAUUCAGUACAGAGAAGGCCCUCAGAGUGUGGGAGGGAAUCUGGGAGGUUUGCUGGCUGUGUAAUUGUUUGCAUUAGAGUUUUAAAUCUGGCUUUGGCCAGUCCUUUGUUGGGUGACUGAGGCAGCUGACAUAGAUGCAUGAAGUCCUCACAUAGUUGUUCUGUGCUGAUAUGUAAGUAAAUAGCAAUUGUUAAUGAAGAUGGCUCUUUAUUAACAAAUGGAAGAGAGACAAGAGGUUCUAAAUUAUCUAGUCACAGUCUUAUUUUUAAUGCCAACUAAUGAAAUCCAUUAAAAUAACUGUGGAGUUCAUUAAUGUUUUUUCAU